rnacentral:tRNA from 1 species
GGAUCGUUGGUGUAGCUGGUUAACACGUCUCCCUGUCACGGAGAAGAUCAGGGGUUCGAAUCCCCUACGAUCCGCCA